AUGGAUGAGGAGAGAGAGGAGGGGGGUCCUGCCUCUAAAACCAUUCCGUCUGGGGAACAUGGCCGCCAGAGCAAAGCUAAGAGAGUGCAGCAGGAGAGAGCAGACUCCCCUGGACCCAGCUGUGUCUCCAUGAAGAGUGACAGCUCUAUGGACUAUCCUCAGAACUUUAAAGAUGGAAAUCAGUCUAUUGAGAAGAGGUGAUGAUUUGUCAAAGAUUAUAAAACUACAGCAUCUGUCAAAUACCCAUAAAUCCUGAUUCUUGUUAUUGUAGAAGAGUGCAGAAGGAGAGAGCAGACUCCCCUGGACCCAGCUGUGUCUCCAUGAAGAGUGACGCGUCUAUGGGAAUUCCUUUGAACUUUAAAGAUUCACGCCCCUCCAGAAAGGAAGGGUAAGGAUUUGUCAAAGAUUACUAGGAAAAAUCCCCAAAAACGAGUUCAUAAUUUCUAGAAGAGUCCAGCAAGAGAGAGAAGACUCCCCUGGACCCAGCUGUGUCUCCAUAAAGAGUGACUGGUCUAAGGGUCAACCUCCUGACCUUAAAGAUCACAUGGCAUGCUACCUUAUGAAUGCUUUUAUAUAGCUGUUAGUAGGCCUCUAAUACAGUACUUAAUGACGUUCAAUAAAUUCAGCCUUGGUGCAGGAUUACAGCCACUACGAGCCUGUCCCACAAUGAGCUUUCCACAAACGUGCCAUUUUUUAGAGGCGGGUCAAGGAGGAGGGUGGGGGCCCUGAGCAUCUUGCGGCCACGGUACCAUGCGCUCUGUUUACAGUGGAUGUAUCGCAAUGGCGAGGCGCACACAGUUUUUGGCUGUGUUCUGUUAAUAUUGUAGAACACUCCGGGUGCUCCGGCAGGAAACCUGGAGCUCUAUAUCUAAAUAAUAUCAUAUUAUGCAUAGAUAUCUAUAUCACAUAAUAUAUAUUAUCACGGCCAAAAGCUGUGUGUGCCUCCAGACGAUAUUAUUAUUGGUUCUUCCACAUCAAUCU
rnacentral:lncRNA from 1 species